rnacentral:lncRNA from 1 species
UUAAAGAUGUUUCUAAUGAGUGUAUUAUGAAAACAUUUCAAGAGAUGAAGUGUCGUCGAGUGCAAUUGUAGUUACCACUUUACAAUUUACAUAUUUUGGUGUAUAUGAAACUAUCCGUCAAUAUAUUUGUCCUACUUCAUCUUCCUUAGUUUAUUCAUUGAUAUUUUGUAAGUUUCUGUUUUAAGAAUUUUCAUUUUGGAUAGUUGGUUAAUUUGAUAUUGAGGUAUGACUAUUUUACAGCCAAUCUUUAUAAUUUGACUAGCAAGGUUUAUUUUUUUACUUGUCCUAAAGUAUGAACACCCUUGGCGAAAAUCCUGGCUCCGCCACUGUUC